UACGAAGGGUGCAAGCGUUACUCGGAAUUACUGGGCGUAAAGCGUGCGUAGGUGGUUUGUUAAGUCUGUUGUGAAAGCCCCGGGCUCAACCUGGGAAUUGCAUUGGAUACUGGCAGGCUAGAGUGCGGUAGAGGGUAGUGGAAUUCCCGGUGUAGCAGUGAAAUGCGUAGAGAUCGGGAGGAACACCAGUGGCGAAGGCGACUACCUGGACCAGCACUGACACUGAGGCACGAAAGCGUGGGGAGCAAACAGG
rnacentral:rRNA from 1 species